rnacentral:rRNA from 1 species
GGUACCGUCAAGCCCCCUCACGAGGGGGUGUUUCUUCCCGUAUAAAAGCAGUUUACAACCCAUAGGGCAGUCUUCCUGCACGCGGCAUGGCUGGAUCAGGCUCUCGCCCAUUGUCCAAUAUUCCUCACUGCUGCCUCCCGUAGGAGUA